rnacentral:rRNA from 1 species
GAUGAACGCUGGCGGCGUGCCUAAUACAUGCAAGUCGAGCGAACGGACGAGAAGCUUGCUUCUCUGAUGUUAGCGGCGGACGGGUGAGUAACACGAGGAUAACCUACCUAUAAGACUGGGAUAACUUCGGGAAACCGGAGCUAAUACCGGAUAAUAUUUUGAACCGCAUGGUUCAAAAGUGAAAGACGGUCUUCCUGUCACUUAUAGAUGGAUCCGCGCUGCAUUAGCUAGUUGGUAAGGUAACGGCUUACCAAGGCAACGAUGCAUAGCCGACCUGAGAGGGUGAUCGGCCACACGGGAACUGAGACACGCUGCAGACUCCUACGGGAGGCAGCAGUAGGGAAUCUGCCGCAAUGGGCGCAAGCCUGACGGAGCAACGCCGCGUGAGUGAGGAAGGUCUUCGGAUCGUAAAACUCUGUUAUUAGGGAAGAACAUAUGUGUAAGUAACUGUGCACAUCUUGACGGUACCUAAUCAGAAGGCCACGGCUAACUACGUG